UGCUGCUGACGAGUCCCAAACAGGACGAAACAACUGUCCGGUGA
rnacentral:hammerhead_ribozyme from 1 species